AUUGAACGCUGGCGGCAUGCCUUACACAUGCAAGUCGAACGGCAGCGGGGACUUCGGUCCGCCGGCGAGUGGCGAACGGGUGAGUAAUGUAUCGGAACGUACCAUUGAGUGGGGGAUAACUAUCCGAAAGGAUAGCUAAUACCGCAUAUUCUCUCCGGAGGAAAGCAGGGGACCGCAAGGCCUUGCGCUCAUUGAGCGGCCGAUAUCAGAUUAGCUAGUUGGUGAGGUAAAGGCUCACCAAGGCGACGAUCUGUAGCGGGUGUGAGAGGAUGAUCCGCCACACGGGAACUGAGACACGGUCCAGACUCCGACGGGAGGCAGCAGGGGGGAAUUGUGGACAAUGGGGGCAACCCGGAUCCAGCCAUGCCGCGUGAGUGAAGAAGGCCUUCGGGUUGUAAAGCUCUUUCGGCCGGGAAAAAAUCGCAUGGGUUAAUACCCUGUGUGGAUGAUGGUACCGGAAUAAGAAGCACCGGCUAACUACGUGCCAGCCGCCGCAGUAACAC
rnacentral:rRNA from 1 species